rnacentral:misc_RNA from 1 species
CUGAAUUUGUGCUGCUGGCUGGGAACGGGCAACCAAGUACCGCCUGGAGCAAAUUUACACACCUGUGCACUUGAAUGUCUUUUGGGAGCUUUUCGGGGCUCCCAGCAUUGAUAAACACCUAUUGACCACGUCUGAACAUUUAUUUAAAUAUAAA